UACGAAGGGGGCGAGCGUUGUUCGGAUUUACUGGGCGUAAAGGGCGCGCAGGCGGCUCAUUUUGUCAGGCGUGAAAGCCCCGGGCUUAACCUGGGAACUGCGUUUGAUACGGAUGGGCUAGAGUUCGGGAGAGGAGAGUGGAAUUCCCAGUGUAGAGGUGAAAUGCGUAGAGAUGUGGAGGAACACCAGUGGCGAAGGCGGCUUUCUGGUCUGUAACUGACGCUGAGGCGCGAAAGCGUGGGGAGCAAACAGG
rnacentral:rRNA from 1 species